GUAGGUGAACCUGCGGAAGGAUCAUUAAUACGUACUUUCACGUAUCACCCAAAUUGUGGUUUCUGUUUUCCCUUGUGAUGGAGUUGGAGGUGAUUGUUUUUGGUGUUAUUGAGAGAAUUUGCAUGGCAAAUUUAUUUGUUUUUCUCAAGAGACCCAAUCACUAAGAGUCAACUCUCUUUUUGUAGUCGAUAAUUGGAUCCAGCCUUGUAACCCAAGGUUGUCGUGCGGUUCGAAAGACUAUUGUAGCUUU
rnacentral:misc_RNA from 1 species